rnacentral:tRNA from 1 species
AAGGCUUUAAGUUAAAAUAAACUAAUAUCCUUCAAAGUUAUAAAUAAAGAAUUUUAUCUUUAAGCCUUA